rnacentral:rRNA from 1 species
GACGAACGCUGGCGGCGUGCUUAACACAUGCAAGUCGAACGGAAAGGCCCUGCUUUUGUGGGGUGCUCGAGUGGCGAACGGGUGAGUAACACGUGAGUAACCUGCCCUUGACUUUGGGAUAACUUCAGGAAACUGGGGCUAAUACCGGAUAGGAGCUCCUGCUGCAUGGUGGGGGUUGGAAAGUUUCGGCGGUUGGGGAUGGACUCGCGGCUUAUCAGCUUGUUGGUGGGGUAGUGGCUUACCAAGGCUUUGACGGGUAGCCGGCCUGGGAGGGUGACCGGCCACAUUGGGACUGAGAUACGGCCCAGACGCCUACGGGAGGCAGCAGUGGGGAAUAUUGCACAAUGGGCGGAAGCCUGAUGCAGCAACGCCGCGGGCGGGAUGACGGCCUUCGGGUUGUAAACCGCUUUCGCCUGUGACGAAGCGUGAGUGACGGUAAUGGGUAAAGAAGCACCGGCUAACUACGUG